UGGACUCAAACUGAACUUUUCCAACGCACUCCGUGGACUGGGUCGUACCGGGUCAGAUCGCCUUUCAUAGGAAUAAAUUAUUUCCGAUUAUAUUUCUCGUUUUAAUUUUUUAAACUUAUUACAAUUUCAAAUGUCACUUUGAUGAGUGCGCAAAUUAUUUUAGACGAGGUGACGAGCGUAGUAAUCGUUGUAUACUAGUAUAACUUUACAAGUUCAAAGUUGUUAUCGGCCAAUCGGGCGGCCCUGACCUUUGCGGCCGGUU